rnacentral:rRNA from 1 species
NGAGUUUGAUCAUGGCUCAGGAUGAACGCUGGCGGUAUGCUUAACACAUGCAAGUCGAACGAAAGUUUUUAACUUUAGUGGCGAACGGGUGCGUAAUACGUGAGAAUCUGCCCUUAGGAGGAGAAUAACUUCUGGAAACGGUUGCUAAGUCUCCAUAUGCCGAGAGGUGAAAUAGUUUAGACUGCCUAGGGAUGAGCUCACGCCUGAUUAGCUUGUUGGUGAGGUAAUGGCUCACCAAGGCCACGAUCAGUAGCUGGUUUGAGAGAACGAUCAGCCACACUGGGACUGAGACACGGCCCAGACUCCUCCGGGAGGCAGCAGUGAGGAAUUUUCCGCAAUGGGCGAAAGCCUGACGGAGCAAUACCGCGUGAGGGAUGAAGGAUUUUGGUCUGUAAACCUCUUUUCUCAAGAAAGAAGUUCUGACGGUACUUGAGGAAUAAGCAUCGGCUAACUCCGUGCCAGCAGCCGCGGUAAUACGGGUGAUGCAAGCGUUAUCCGGAAUCAUUGGGCGUAAAGCGCCUGUAGGUUGUUUAAUAAGUCUGUUGUUAAAGACCAGGGCUUAACCCUGGGAAAGCAAUGGAAACUGCUAGACUUGAGUAUGAUAGGGGUAGAGGGAAUUUCUAGUGUAGCGGUGAAAUGCGUAGAUAUUAGAAAGAACACCGGUGGCGAANGCGCUCUACUGGAUCAUCACUGACACUCAGAGGCGAAAGCUAGGGUAGCAAAAGGGAUUAGAUACCCCUGUAGUCCUAGCCGUAAACGAUGGAUACUACAUGUUGCGUAAGUCAGCAUCCCCCUUAUGUCCUUGGCCACACACGUCCUACAAUGGCUAAGACAAAGAGUUCCGAACUUCCGAAAGUCAGCUAAUCUCAUAAACUUAGCCCAAGUUCGGAUUGUAGGCUGCAACUCGCCUGCAUGAAGUCGGAAUCGCUAGUAAUCGCUGGUCAGCCAUACAGCGGUGAAUCCGUUCCCGGGCCUUGUACACACCGCCCGUCACACCAUGGGAGCUGGUCAUGCCCGAAACCGUUUGCUUAACCUUUCGGAGAGCGGCGUCUAAGGUAGGGUUAGUGACUGGGGUGAAGUCGUAACAAGGUAGCCGUACUGGAAGGUGUGGCUGGAUCACCUCCUU